CGCACGUAUGACUGUAAAUCGCUUUGGAUAAAAGCGUCUGUUAAAUGGCAUAGA
rfam:Salmo salar isolate Sally breed double haploid chromosome ssa18, whole genome shotgun sequence.